rnacentral:rRNA from 1 species
UACGUAGGGGGCUAGCGUUGUCCGGAAUCAUUGGGCGUAAAGCGCGUGUAGGCGGUCCGGUAAGACCGCUGUGAAAGUCGAGGGCUCAACCCUCGAAUGCCGGUGGAUACUGUCGGGCUAGAGUACGGAAGAGGCGAGUGGAAUUCCUGGUGUAGCGGUGAAAUGCGUAGAGAUGCGGAGGUACACCGAUGGCGAAGGCAGCCCCCUGGGCCGACAUUGACGCUCAGGCACGAAAGCGUGGGGAGCAAACAGG